rnacentral:tRNA from 2 species
UGCGGUGAGGUUCAAAUGGUAAGACGCUUGGCUCAUUCCCAAGAGAAGCAGGUUCAAUUCCUGUCACCGUAA